rnacentral:rRNA from 1 species
CCGAUGGCGACCGGCGCACGGGUGAGUAACACGUAUCCAACCUGCCGAUGACUCGGGGAUAGCCUUUCGAAAGAAAGAUUAAUACCCGAUGGCAUAGUUCUUCCGCAUGGUAGAACUAUUAAAGAAUUUCGGUUAUCGAUGGGGAUGCGUUCCAUUAGGCAGUUGGUGGGGUAACGGCCCACCAAACCUUCGAUGGAUAGGGGUUCUGAGAGGAAGGUCCCCCACAUUGGAACUGAGACACGGUCCAA